rnacentral:tRNA from 1 species
AGGUAGCCGUACCGGAAGGUGCGGCUGGAUCACUCCUAACAGGGAGACAAAACUGAUUAUGAUGUUUGGAUUUUUAUCUUCAAGCCAUAAUCCUGUCACCUUAGGUCGAUCGGUACCUCAAUUUAAUGUUUAAAACUAACUUUUUUGUUUUAAACAAACCAUUAAAUUUAGUUCCUAAACUUUUGUCUAGGUCACACCCAACAAGGGUACUCCUGGGCCAUUAGCUCAGGUGGUUAGAGCGCACCCCUGAUAAGGGUGAGGUCCCUGGUUCAAGUCCAGGAUGGCCCAUUCGGUGUUGGGGGUAUAGCUCAGUUGGUAGAGCGCCUGCUUUGCAAGCAGGAUGUCAGCGGUUCGAGUCCGCUUACCUCCACUGAUCGACCUUCUGAAAUCGAAGCUUAUGGAGACCUUACUUUGAUGUGAUCUAGAUAUGUUCUUGAAUAAAAUGAACCUAGCUUCUUAUCAUUCCACCUAAAUUAUUUUUAGGUUUGGUUGAUAUGACGCUGGGCUCCGCUGCAAGUUAGCUUGCAGAGAAGUUCAGUAGAACCUUGAAAACUGCAUAGGUGAGUCUGGAAAAAAUAAAGCAUCUCAUGGAUGAAUUGUUUUUUUAGCCAUAGUAAUAGAUGUUUUGAUUUGAUCGAAAUAUUAUUAUUUUGGUUAAGAUUAUGAUUUUCAAUUCUUGAGCAAGAGCCGAGACUUUAUAACGGUCUUUCUCUGCUAAUUGCAUUGAGAGUUAGAUCUUUGAUUUUAUUUUCUAACGGCUGUUUAUAUUAGAUUUAUCUAAAUUAUUCAUGCCUAUAAAUAGAACUUAAAAUCAAAGAGAAUAGUGUUAAAACAUAUGCCGUUAUAAAGGUUAAUGGUCAAGCUACAA